GACGAACGCUGGCGGCGUGCCUAAUACAUGCAAGUCGAACGAGAGCGACCGGUGCUUGCACUGGUCAAUCUAGUGGCGAACGGGUGAGUAACACGUGGGUAACCUGCCCAUCAGAGGGGGAUAACAUCCGGAAACGGAUGCUAAAACCGCAUAGGUCUUCGAACCGCAUGGUUUGAAGAGGAAAAGAGGCGCAAGCUUCUGCUGAUGGAUGGACCCGCGGUGCAUUAGCUAGUUGGUGAGGUAACGGCUCACCAAGGCCGUGAUGCAUAGCCGACCUGAGGGGGUGAUCGGCCACAUUGGGACUGAGACACGGCCCAAACUCCUACGGGGGGCAGCAGUAGGGAAUCUUCCGCAAUGGACGCAAGUCUGACGGAGCAACGCCGCGUGAGUGAAGAAGGUUUUCGGAUCGUAAAACUCUGUUGUUAGAGAAGAACAAGUGCUAGAGUAACUGUUAGCGCCUUGACGGUAUCUAACCAGAAAGCCACGGCUAACUACGUG
rnacentral:rRNA from 1 species